rnacentral:misc_RNA from 1 species
GUGAAUCAUCGAAUUUUUGAACGCAAAUUGCACCCUCCUCGGAGAGUAUGCCUGUUUGAGGGUCAGCCUAUAAAAAAUCGACAUCGUCGCUGUUUCGCCGUUACGAUCGUCGGGAAUUGGGUCAACUUAAAUCCUUUUGGUUUUAAGCGACUUAAAAUUUUCUUUAUGGUUCCAUCGGCGUUUCCAAGGUUUAUCUUUUUACACGCGUAAGGGUAUCG